UUCCACCCUUCUUUCAGCCAUCUGAGGAGGUAGUUAGGCGCCGGAGUUAGCAUUGUGGGUGACUUCGGCCAAGGCCAAGGAGGCAAGGGCAAGGCUCCCAUGUACGGCUGACGGUGGAUGAUGCGAAGGGCCAUAGAAAUCUUGAGGAGAGUCUAGAGUGUCGUAGGCGCCUUGUUGGAUUCUUUUGGGUUCA